CUCUAGUGUAUUGGAAUGGCACUACAAGACUCUAAUGUAUUGGAAUGACACUACAAGACUCUAGGUCUUGUAGUGCCAUUCCAAUACAUCUAGUG
rnacentral:pre_miRNA from 1 species